UGAUGGGAUAAAUGCUUGGCUUACAGAAGGCAAACAUUUUUUUGUGUCUUUGGUCAAUUGCCUUUGACACAUUUUUGUUCAUUCUUCUAACUUCCCCUUUUAUCCAGAAGACAGAAUCAUGCAUGAGAAUUUAACAGCCGGACUGGUGUUUUGACAACUAAAAAUACAAGAUCUCCUUUCUCUAAUUGCAUACAGGCAAGGGAACUGUUACAGCUGUAAGUGCUAUAAAGGAUGGAAUGGUUACAACUGCCUGUAAUGCUUCUUCUUUCCCCUUGCUUAAGUGGUACUUUCACAGGUUCUCCAAUUUCAGCAUGAUCCUGUGAGACUUCCAGCAUACUGAGUCACAGAAUAGCAAUAGCUCGUAAAGCCCUGUGAAGCGAUAAGGAAGGAUAUCAUUCAAUAUGUUAACAACAAUGAUGAAAGAAUUCAGCACCAUCAGCAGUUAUAACUAUAUGAAUUUUUUACAACCAGAUUCCAGAUGGAACUGAACGUUUGCUACCAAUCUGGGUGUCACCUGAUACAAGCAUCAGAAGGGAAGAAUAUAUUACAAAACAUGGAGAAUGCAGCAUUUCUGGCUUAUCCAUUGAUUUAUAUGUGAGAACAAUGUCGUAUACCCUUGGCCAUACAUCUUAGACAGAACAGCUCAUGUAUCCGGCUCCAUCUAAAAUCCGACAACUUUACAUUACACAGCUAUUUCUCCCACUGCAACUUCUGGGAAGAAAUGUGCUAUCACACCCAGAGAUGGAAGAGGGGUGCUAUCACACCGAGGAAGGGAAGAAAGGUACUAUCAGACCCAAUGAGUGGGGCUGAUGGU